ACGCUCGACACCUACGGAGGCAGCAGUUGGGAAUAUUGGACAAUGGAGGAAACUCUGAUCCAGUGACGCCGCGUGAAGGAAGAAGGUCUUCGGAUUGUAAACUUAUUUUGUCAGGGAAGAAAAAUGACUGUACCUGAAGAAAAAGCNCCGGCUAACUACGUGCCGACAGCCGCGGUAAUCUGAGCGGGCUGGCAAGGC
rnacentral:rRNA from 1 species